UGGGGAAUAUUGGACAAUGGGCGAAAGCCUGAUCCAGCCAUGCCGCGUGUGUGAAGAAGGUCUUCGGAUUGUAAAGCACUUUAAGUUGGGAGGAAGGGCAGUAAGCGAAUACCUUGCUGUUUUGACGUUACCGACAGAAUAAGCACCGGCUAACUCUGUGCCAGCAGCCGCGGUAAUACAGAGGGUGCAAGCGUUAAUCGGAAUUACUGGGCGUAAAGCGCGCGUAGGUGGUUCGUUAAGUUGAAUGUGAAAGCCCCGGGCUCAACCUGGGAACUGCAUCCAAAACUGGCGAGCUAGAGUAGGGCAGAGUGUGGUGGAAUUUCCUGUGUAGCGGAGAAAUGCGUAGAUAUAGGAAGGAACACCAGUGGCGAAGGCGACCACCUGAGCUCAUACUGACACUGAGGUGCGAAAGCGUGGGGAGCAAACAGG
rnacentral:rRNA from 1 species